rnacentral:rRNA from 1 species
GAUGAACGCUAGCGGCAGGCCUAAUACAUGCAAGUCGAACGGAUAUAUGUUUUUCGGAAUAUAUAUUAGUGGCGCACGGGUGAGUAACACGUACAUAACUUGCCCUCAAGCGGGGGAUAGCCUUGGGAAACUGAGAGUAAUACCCCAUAGAAUUAUUGGACGGCAUCGUUUGAUAAUUAAAACUACGGUGUUUGGGGAUAGAUGUGCGUCUGAUUAGCUAGUUGGUGAGGUAACUGCUCACCAAGGCGACGAUCAGUAGGGGGCGGUGAGAGCGUGGCCCCACCACGGUACGGUANAGAC